CACAUUCUCGUUGCGAAUUCAAAAAUUGCCUAACGUUAUCCACGAGACUUUCGAGAUGAAACAAGAUCGGCCCAACCACUAUUUUUACAGAGCAGCAUUAGCAGCCUCUUGCAUAGUUUCGGUCAUUAUUGCGCAGAAACCUUCAGUGUGUGAUCAAAAAGGUUAUGGGUGCGUGUAUCACACAAACUGCCCGAAAAAGCUUUAUCUGCCCUAUUCUGGUUGCUCUGGCUUUAGAACCUGCUGCAAAAUAGAUAAACUGAGCCAGUGCUACUACAAGGGGGGAGAGUGCAAGUCUAAAUGUGAAGGAGCUGUGAACAUAUACGGGAAGUGUUACUGGAAGAAGAAAUGCUGCUUACCAUGACGGUUCUACCGCGCCGACUUUUGAUUCGUAGUUUUUGUGCAGCCCACAUUUUCAGUAAAACGAAAUGUCAACCGUA
rnacentral:lncRNA from 1 species